rnacentral:rRNA from 1 species
CCUACGGGUUGCAGCAGUAGGGAAUCUUCCGCAAUGGACGAAAGUCUGACGGAGCAACGCCGCGUGAGUGAUGAAGGCUUUCGGGUCGUAAAACUCUGUUGUUAGGGAAGAACAAGUGCUAGUUGAAUAAGCUGGCACCUUGACGGUACCUAACCAGAAAGCCACGGCUAACUACGUGCCAGCAGCCGCGGUAAUACGUAGGUGGCAAGCGUUAUCCGGAAUUAUUGGGCGUAAAGCGCGCGCAGGUGGUUUCUUAAGUCUGAUGUGAAAGCCCACGGCUCAACCGUGGAGGGUCAUUGGAAACUGGGAGACUUGAGUGCAGAAGAGGAAAGUGGAAUUCCAUGUGUAGCGGUGAAAUGCGUAGAGAUAUGGAGGAACACCAGUGGCGAAGGCGACUUUCUGGUCUGUAACUGACACUGAGGCGCGAAAGCGUGGGGAGCAAACAGGAUUAGAUACCCGUGUAGUC